rnacentral:lncRNA from 1 species
UAGUAAGGACCUCUUGGCCUCCAGACUUCGAUGUUAGAAGAGGGAUCGGACAUCGGACAAUAAAAUAGUCUCAAGGAUUAAUUAUGAUUCUUGUCCAAACAUGUCAAAUCAGGAUAUAUUAUCGUCAUUUCACUCACUGCCCAUGCGCCUACCAAGCCCAUGUCACAUCACCUUUUUUGCCAACUGUGCGUCAGUUAAAGGUCCACUUGCCAAC